GAAUGGGAAGAGGAAUAUCCCUAUGGCCAAGUCACUGUGGGACUUUUGUUAAAGUGAGGGCAGUGCUUUGAGCUCUGCAUCUGCAAUGGCAGCGACUGUGCCCAUACACACAGCAAGAGAGCUGAGGGCUAGAAACAGAGCCCUGCAGGACUGUGAGUCUUACUCUAAAAAUAUCCAUGUUCUGCCCUCAAAAAAUUUGCCAGAGGCUUUCAAACUGAAAAGCUACAUUUUGUUACCACUUGGAAAUUUGCAUCUCAAACUCUGGUGAACUUUAGCUGCACGCUGAUGACCCGUGUGCCUGUGAGCCAAGAAACUUGCCUUGUAAAGGGAAUACACGGGCUGAGAAGCUCCAGGGUCAGCUGGAGCCAGGAAAUGCAGUGUCACAAGAACAACAAUUUGCAUGAGUCCUGCAAAAAUAAAUGCGCGUAUUGACA